ACACUGGUGGCAUGCUUAACACAUGCUAGUUGGACAAGAAAUGGUGUUUCCAAUGGUGGACAAGUGAGGAAUAUAUAAGAACCUACCCUGGGGAGUGGAACAAGAGCUGGAAAUGGCUACUAAUACCCUAUAGGUUAAGGAGCAAAAGGAGGAAUCUGCAUAAGGAGGGACUCGCAUCUAAUUAGCUAGUUAGUGAGGUAAUAGUUUACCAAGGUGAUGAUCAAUAGCUCGUCCGAGAGGAUGAUCGGCUACACUGGACUGAGACACGACCUAAACUCCUACAAGAGGCAGUAGUGGGGAAUUUUAUGCAAUAGGUGAAAGCCUAAAGGAGCAAUGAUGCAUGGAGGUAGAAGGCUUACGAAUGGUGAACUUCUUUUCUCAGAGAAAAAGCAAUGAUAAUAUCUAGGGAAUAAACAUUAACUAACUUUUUGCCAACAACCACUUUAAGUCCACCUUCAAAUCCAUGGGCUCAAACCUAGACAUGUGAUGGAAACUACCAAGCUUGAGUAUGGUAAGGGCAAAGGGAAUUUCCAGUGAAGCGGUGAAAUUCAUAUAGAUUGAAAAGAACACCAAUGGCAAAAGCACUUUGCUGGGCCAACAUUGACACUGAAAGAUAAAUGGUAAGGGAAUGAAUGGGAUUAGAUACCUAGUAGUCCUAGUUGUAAAUGAUGGAUACUAGGCACUAUGCAUAUCGACUUGUGUAGUGUUGUAGCUAACACGUUAAGUAUUCCGUUUGGGGAGUAUGUUCAUAAGAAUGAAACUCAAAGGAAUUGAAAGGGGCCCACAUAAGUGAUGGAGCAUGUGGUUUAAUUUGAUGCAAAGUGAAUAACCUUACUAGGGCUUUGACAUGCCACAAAUCCUCUUGAAAGAUAGGGGUACCUUCAGGAACAUGGACACAGAUGGUGCAUGUCUAUUGUCAGCUCAUGCCAUAAGGUGUUCGGUUAAGUCCCACAAUGAGUGCAACCCUCAUGUUUAGUUGCCACCAUUGAGUUUGGAACCUGAGCGGACUGUCGAUGAUAAGUCGAAGGAAGGUGAGGAUGACAUCAAGUCUCAUGUCCUUAUGCAACUCAUAUGCAUGAAGCUAGAAUUGCAAAUAAUCACUAGUUACCUAUAUAGUGGUGAAUUUGUUCCCAAGCCUUGUACACACUGCUUAUCACAUUAUAAAAGUUGGCCAUGCUCGAAGUUGUUACCUUAAACAUAAGGAGGGGGGUGUCGAAGGUAGGGCUAGUGACUAGAAUGAAGUCGUAACAAGGUAGCUGUAUUGGAAGGUGUAAUUG
rnacentral:rRNA from 1 species